rnacentral:misc_RNA from 1 species
GAUGAAGAACGUAGUGAAAUGCGAUAAGUAGUGUGAAUUGCAGAAUUCAGUGAAUCAUCGAAUCUUUGAACGCACAUUGCGCCCUUUGGUAUUCCAAAGGGCAUGCCUGUUCGAGCGUCAUUUGUACCCUCAAGCUUUGCUUGGUGUUGGGCGUCUUGUCUCUAGCUUUGCUGGAGACUCGCCUUAAAGUAAUUGGCAGCCGGCCUACUGGUUUCGGAGCGCAGCACAAGUCGCACUCUCUAUCAGCAAGGUCUAGCAUCCAUUAAGCCUUUUUUUCAACUUUUGACCUCGGAUCAGGUAGGGAUACCCGCUGAACUUAAGCAUAUCAAUAAGCGGAGGA